AUCUUGCCUUCCUCUGCCUUUCAGGCUACAAUUGGGCAGGGUCCUCAGGAAAAAAAAAUCAUAUUUGGGAGGCAAAAAUCUUCAGGUUAGCCAGAAAUAGCCCAGCCCCAAGCCAAGCUUCUUUCCAUGUCAUACAUCAGUGUCCUUGUCUCAUCUUUCAUCUCCAACUGAUACUUUUCAGACAGCUUCACUGUGUUUGCCCCUGGCUGUUCUUAUCUCUCUUUCUGAAUGAAUUAAACACUAGUAAUAGCUUCAUUUUACAGUUUUUUCAGAGAGAAUCUCAACUCCCUGCGCAGACAUUGACAGGGACAAUGACUGCCAUUACAGGUGAUAUGGUAAUUCCCAGCAAGGAGAUGAGCUCAUGGUGUCUCAAACCUUUAUCUCGAGGAUAAGAUGCCCCCUUUACACACAUGCUCCAGGUGCAACCAGGACACCUGCUAUUCCAGCAGGCAAUGACAUUUGUGUGUUGAUUUGGUCUUCUGUCAUCUACUAAAGGCCUCUAUGGAGACAACUCUUAACUACUAACUAAACUGAAAGUACCAAAACUAAUUUAAAGCUUCCUUUCACACAUAUUUAAAGAAGA